AGCAGCCGCGGUAAUUCCAGCUCCAAUAGCGUAUAUUAAAGUUGUUGCAGUUAAAAAGCUCGUAGUUGAAUUUCGGGGUUAGUAGGUUGGUCAUGCCUCUGGUAUGUACUGGUCUCACUGAUUCCUCCUUCCUGAUGAGCCGUAAUGCCAUUAAUUUGGUGUUGCGGGGAAUUUGGACUGUUACUUUGAAAAAAUUAGAGUGUUUAAAGCAAGCUAACGCUUGAAUACAUUAGCAUGGAAUAAUGAAAUAGGACGUUCGAUCCUAUUUUGUUGGUUUCUAGGAUUGACGUAAUGAUUAAUAGGGAUAGUUGGGGGCAUUAGUAUUCAAUUGUCAGAGGUGAAAUUCUUGGAUUUAUUGAAGACUAACUACUGCGAAAGCAUUUGCCAAGGAUGUUUUCAUUAAUCAAGAACGAAAGUUAGGGGAUCGAAGACGAUCAGAUACCGUCGUAGUCUUAACCAUAAACUAUGCCGACUAGGGGUCGGAUGAUGUUAAUUUUUUAAUGACUCA
rnacentral:rRNA from 1 species